AUUGAACGCUGGCGGCAUGCCUUACACAUGCAAGUCGAACGGCAGCAUGAUCUAGCUUGCUAGAUUGAUGGCGAGUGGCGAACGGGUGAGUAAUACAUCGGAACGUGCCCUGUAGUGGGGGAUAACUAGUCGAACGAUUAGCUAAUACCGCAUACGACCUGAGGGUGAAAGUGGGGGACCGCAAGGCCUCAUGCUAUAGGAGCGGCCGAUGUCUGAUUAGCUAGUUGGUGAGGUAAAGGCUCACCAAGGCGACGAUCAGUAGCUGGUCUGAGAGGACGAUCAGCCACACUGGGACUGAGACACGGCCCAGACUCCUACGGGAGGCAGCAGUGGGGAAUUUUGGACAAUGGGCGAAAGCCUGAUCCAGCAAUGCCGCGUGUGUGAAGAAGGCCUUCGGGUUGUAAAGCACUUUUGUCCGGAAAGAAAUGGCUCUGGUUAAUACCUGGGGUCGAUGACGGUACCGGAAGAAUAAGGACCGGCUAACUACGUG
rnacentral:rRNA from 1 species